CCUUAGGGAGUCUGAAGGGUGUAUGGUGGAUGCCUUGACUCUAUAUGGCGAAGAAGGACGCGGCGGUCGGCGAUACGUUUCGGGGAGGUGACGAGCAACCUUUGAUCCGGAAAUGUCCGAAUGGGGAAACCCCAUGCUGGUAAUGCAGCAUGACGUUCAGAGGAUUCUGAACGAGCAAACCUCGGGAAUUGAAACAUCUUAGUACCGAGAGGAAAAGAAACUAACGCAUGGCGAACUUUACGCUGGGCAGCGGAUGCUGCUUCCAAGCGUUAAGUUCGUCGCAGCAUUCCCUUAGUAGCGGCGAGCGAACGGGGAGGAGCCCAAACUGCUUUGAGCAAUCGAAGCAGGGUUGUACGGUGAUGACGUUCCACUUGUUGGAAGAAGAGUUACAAAAGUGUUGUAUAGACGAAUCUGCUGGAAAGCAAAGCCCUAGAGGGUAAUAGCCCCGUCGUUGAAAUGCAAUACUCUCUUUUGUCAUCGUUCGUGAGUAAUCCGAGACACGAAUAGCUUGGAUGAAUCCGGGAGGACUAACUCCCAAGGCUACAUACGUAUAGAGAUCGAUAGUGAACCAGUACCGUGAGGGAAAGGUGAAAAGUAGUCCGGAAGGACGGUGAAAUAGAUCUGAAACCAUACAUCUACAAAGAGUCGAAGAGGAGAAAUUCCUCGACGGCGUGCCUAUUGAAGAAUGAGCCGGCGAGUUUACGCACACGGCAUGGCUAAGGGCGCGAGUCCGGAGCCGAAGGGAAACCGAGUGUGAACAGCGCGUUCGUCGCGUGCGUAAGACCCGAAACGGGAUGAGCUUACCAUGAGCAGGGUGAAGUUUCUCGAAAGAGAGAUGGAGGCCCGAACCAUAUGAUCGUAUAACGUCUGUGGAUGACUUGUGGUAAGGAGUGAAAAGCUUACCGAAUUCCGUAAUAGCUGGUUCUCUCCGAAACAGCUUUUGGGCUGGCGUCAGAUGUUCCCCAUGGGGGUAGAGCACUGGAAGGAACAAACAGGGAGAAAUCUCGUUGUUCCUAUCAAACUCCGAAUACCAUGGAUCAAAAAUCUGGCAGUUAGACUAUGGGCGCUAAGGUCCAUCGGUCGAGAAGGGAAGAGCCUAGAUCUCAAGUUAAGGUCCCAAAAUCUACGCUAAGUGCAUCUCAAGGAGGUGAAGAUUCGUUGACAGUGAGGAUGUUGGCUUAGAAGCAGCCACCAUUUAAAGAAAGCGUAACAGCUCACUCAUCGAGAGUCUUUGCGCCGAAGAUAAUCGGGGCUAAGCGUAGUACCGAAACUGAGGAAUCCAACACCCUCCGGGGAGUUGGAUUGGUAGGAGAGCGCUCGUACUCGCAACGAAGGCAAAGGGGUGACCCAUGCUGGAGUAGUACGAGGUGAGAAUGCCGGCACAAGUAACCGCAAUGCAGGUGAGAUCCCUGCACGCUGAAAAACCAAGGUUUCCUGGGCAACGGUGAUCGCCCCAGGGUUAGUCGGUCCUAAGGGGAUGGCGAACGCCGCACCCGAUGGCCAUACGGUUAAUAUUCCGUAACCUGGUAUGUUUUGCUAUGGAGUGACGAACAGUUGUAUGUGUCGCGCACAAUUGGAUGUGCGUGCGUGCCGUGAAGCUGCCACAUAGGAAAAUCCGUGUGGUAAGGCUGAGCGGAGCGCCAAUGUCGCGAGUCAUCGCGACAGAGGAUGCGGAGCACUGUUCCGAGAAAACCUUCUAUGCGUUAAGACAUAUUAGUCCGUACCACAAACCAACACAGGUGGUUAGGUCGAGUAGACCAAAGCGAACGAGUGAGAGGUCCUCAAGGAACUCGGCAAAUUAGCGGCCGUAAGUUAGCGAUAAGGCCUGCCCUCAAUUAAGUUUGGGGGCCGCAGCGAAAGAUUCCCUAGCGACUGUUUACCUAAAACACAGCUCCCUGCGAACUCGUAAGAGGAUGUAUAGGGGGUGACGCCUGACCGAUGCCAGAAGGUCAAGUACGGUUGGUGAGAUUAUAUCAAGCUGGACUGUAUAAGCCCUGGUGAAUGUCGGCGAUAACUAUAAUCGUCCUAAGGUAGCGUAAUUCCUUGUCCGGUAAGUUCGGACGUGCACGAAUGGCGUAACGACUGGGGAACUGUCUCGAGGACUUGCUCGGUGAAAAUACAAUACCGGUGAAGAUGCCGGUUACCUGCAGUUAGACGAAAAGACCCCAGAAGCUUUACUGUAGCUUCGUAUUGGGAGUACGAUUCACAUGCGUAGCAUAGAUGGGAGAGGUUGAAGUAUCGGUUUUGGCUGAUAUGGACUCGUCAGUGAAAUACCAUUCUUGUGCGUUGUACUUUCUAACCUCGCGAUAAUACGCGGGAGACAGUGCGUGGCGGGCAGUUUGAGUGGGGCGCUCUCCUCCUAAAAAGUAGCGGAGGAGCCUACAAAGGUUCGCUAGGCGCGUAUGGAAAGCGUGCCGGUCGUGUAAUGGCACAAGCGAGCUUAACUGUGAGACAUGAGCGUCGAGCAGACACGAAAGUGGAGCAUAAUGAACCGAUAGUCCGCAUUAGAUGCGGCUAGAGAUUAUCUGAUAAAAGUUACUCUGGGGAUAACAGGCUAGUUCCGCCCAAGCGUCCAUAGCGACGGCGGAGUUCGGCACCUCGAUGUCGGCUCACCACAUCCCGGAGCUGGAGAAGGUUCCAAGGGUUUGGCUGUUCGCCAAUUAAAGUGGUACGCGAGCUGGGUUCAAACCGUCGAGUAGUUCUAUAGGGACUAUUGGACGGUUUGAAUCCCGAGGCAGCAUACAAAGACAACAACGUAGAAAAGAAAUUCGACAAUACUCACGGCGGUCCACACUAGGAAUAGUGUGUGAAGAAAGUACCUGAUAUCGGGAAAACCCCCACGCUGUUUAUCACAGCCAUGGGCAAUUCCGAGGGACGUUCGUAUGAACACCCGUAGAGACUACAUGGUACUCACCAAGAACUGGUGAAGGUCUAGUCCAAUGCAUACAGGAAUGUAUGAGAACAUGCGUGAGACAGGUUGGUCUCCUAUCUACUGCAGGCGUGGAUUCUUGAAGAGAGUCGUCCUUAGUACGAGAGGACCGGGAUGAACUGACCUCUGGUCUACCUGCUCUGGCGCCAGCCGGAUCGCAGGGUAGCUAUGUCGGGAAGGGAUAACCGCUGAAAGCAUCUAAGCGGGAAGCCUACUCUAAGAUUAGGAAUCGUUAAGGACCCUGAGAGAUGAUCAGGUUGAUAGGCGUUAGGUGUACGUGCAGUAAUGCAUUGAGCCGAGACGUACUAAUUGUCCGAUCUCCCUAGGGAA
rnacentral:rRNA from 1 species